AAGAAAUUGGGUUAAACAUUGUUCCAGAUGACUCGCCAAGCCGGCCAAUUGAGGUGUGAAGUGAGUGUUAGAUGUUAGUUGAUUUUGGAAAGUUGCAGAUAAUGGGUGGCACAGAGACCUGUUUGCCAGUGUUGGAGAGGUGUGGGGUCUGAUGCAAUUCCAGCAUUUGAUGGAUGCAGUCCGUCAGGUAAAACUGUUUUAGUUAAGAAAAAGUGGGCCGGUAGGAGUAGAUGGAAGAAGCAACUGGUGCUGUCAAAGUGAGAACAAUGCAUUAAUUUCAAGACUUUCUGAUUGCCUUUUGUCUUUCCGGUCUUUGCAUUGUUUGUGGACAGACAAGGUGUCAUGUAUAUGAGGGCGUAUUUCUCUCCAGUAUUGUCAUGGAAACCCCCACACUAAAUUCCCUGAUAAACCAAAAAGGUUAGCUGUUGAACCGCCACCCUUCAGUUCAGUCCUGUCUCAAAGGGGUGAAAUAGCAUCAGACACCAAGUGAAACCAAUCUUUGACUUUCCAUUUCUCAACAAUUGCCACAUAGCAUUGUUAAUUGGUUACAUUCUGGGCCAUUCAGCCUUUAUUCAAAGGACAGUGUAGAAAUGGGAAAGGUAGGGAGAGAAAGAAGAUGACUUACAGCGAAGGGCUGUUUUUAAACUCCAGGCAACUGUGACAUGGACGUGGCCUUCAAUGCUCAAACGGAAUGCACAUGCCACAUGGUGAUUGAAGCCCGCAGCCCUCAAGAGAAGCCAACAAAGUUGUGUCCAUGACAACUGAAGAAAAUGGCUACGGACUACCAACCCUACUUGAUGUCAAUGCCUUGUUGCCCUGGGAUGAAGACAGCCAAGAUGGACCCAGCCCUCCUUGUUGAUGAUGCCUCUUUGCCCCAGGAUUUCUUCAGGCUGUAGGACUACUGGGCCCUGACCUCACCUCCAAAUGGAACAAGUCGGCUACCAAGUUUAACAUGGACUUUGCCACCUUAAGCCAAAGACUUGAUCCAUCAGACUCUGAAAAACUAUCACCACCAGAGACUGAAGCAUACAUGCACACAACAGGACACACACCUCACCACAAGACACUAUUGGACAUAACGCAUUCCAACACGAUGCAAUGAAGAGACUGAUUUUGGAUGUAUUGUUACAGUUGCCAUGUCAUAUUUGUUGUAUUGAAAACCUGUAUAUUCAUCACUUUUUUGGUCAAGUAAAAUUGUUGCUUUU